ACUCACCUUGGCGGCGUCUGACAGCUGCGCCAGCAGCAGCACGGAAAGCGCCAGGCACGACAGGCUGAGCAAGGAGCCAAGCCGAAGAAGGCCUCCCCACAGGGUCGCCAUCGCUGGGGGCCCAGCGGUCCCACAGCCCGGAGCCCCCGCGACCGGCUCCCGGCUCGGGCUCAGGCUCAGGCUCAGGCUCAGGCACAGGCUUGGGACCCGGCUGGGGAUCCUCCGCCCGCACUUCCGUCUGGACGCGAAGGCGUCACCGGGCGCGCCGGGUCAGAUGCAAAAAGCAUCCGCCCCGGAACCGGUUACCAGUGCGAAGGGCCGGGAGGCUGGGCAGUCCUGGUGCCCGCCUUGGCCUAGCCCCGGCCCCGGGACGGAAGGGGGCCUCUGGGGUGGCAGCCUGGGCCCAGUAGAGCUUUGCAUCUCUUGGAUAUCUUUCCCGGGCGCAGAAGCUGCGGGGCUUAGGGAGUCGCCAUUGCGCUGGAAAGUCCUCCCGCCCACGGAGACCCCAGCAAACUCCGAGUGUCACACAGUCGCCUCUGGCGACCCGUGCGGGCCGGAGCCGUUCGCGCACAGGCAGGGCGGGUGCUGAGCGUGGAAACGGGGCUGGAAUUGGCCGAGCCAUGCCUUUCCGGGAUGCCCACCGCCAGUCAAAGGGUUGGGGGUGGUCUCUGCACCUUAAGUACUAACCUGCCGCCCACGCGCCUCCUGACCACAGCACCCCGUCGGCUUUCUAAUUCUGUGAGCUGCCCUCGUGGGCGUGGCCUCCCUGUGGAGCUCCCCAUGUGCCUCCCCUUGGUCCAGCCUGCAGCUAGGAAGUGGGUCACAGCGACGGGGCUGGGCUGGGCCAGGCCAGGCUCCGGGAGAUGUGGAAUUGGCGAAACAACUGCCCCAGUAGUAUCCUCCGCCUAGGACUCCAAGAGGUGGCGAAUUGGGGCACUACGCCCGGGAACCAGGGUGGCAGGGCUAGAUGUCCUCUCACCAGACUGCCCAGUGAAGGUGCUGUCACUUUGAUGAAUUAUCAAGGCUUUGUAGUGGGUCUUCUACUGGACAAAGGACAAACUGGAGACUCCCUGGAUCAAAUGUGUUGGUGAGGCACUGAAUCUGAUUGCUGAAAGAAAAUGUUAUAGUGCUGUCAGGAAGUGCUGUUCUGGAAUACAGAAUGUGGCUGCCGUGAGUGGAGUGUGACUAUGAGAUAGUCGCCUGACUGGAGACAAUGAAGCCUCAGGCCAAGAAUAUGUUUCUAGAGCUGCUGGUGCCACUGCUGAUGUUACUGGGUUCCCUGAAAUAAAACACCACAGUGCAGGUGAGUACCAAAGUGGGGAGAAUUUUUAGUUCCUUUUAGAGGUGCUAAAUCAAUAUUGUUGAUUUCCCAGUACCUUAGAAUAUUUAAUGAAAACAGGUCAGGUGCAGUGGCUCACGCCUGUAAUCCCAGCACUUUGGGAGGCCAAGGCAGGUAGAUCACUUGAGGUCAGGAGUUCAAGAACAGCCUGGCCAACAUGGUGAAACCCCAUCUCUACUAAAAAUACAAAAAUUAGCAGGGCGUGGUGGCAGGCACCUGUAAUCCCAGCUACUCCGGAAGCUGAGGCACCAGAAUCGCUUGAACUCAGGAGGCGGAGGUUGUAGUGAGUCGAGAUCAUGCCACUGCACUCCAGCCUGGGCGCAUGGUGGCUCAUGCCUAUAAUCCCAGCACUUUGGGAGGCUGAGGCAGUCAGAUCACUUGAGGUCAGGAGUUCAAGAACAGCCUGACCAACAUGGUGAAACCCCAUCUCUACUAAAAAUAGAAAAAGUUAGCCAGGCGUGGUGGCAGGCGCCUGUAAUCCCAGCUACUCAGGAGGCUGAGGCAUAAGAAUCCUUGAACCCAGGAGGCGGAGGUUGCAGUGAGCUGAGAUUGCACCAUUGCACUCCAGCCUGGGCAACAAUAGCGAAACUCCGUCUCAAAACAAACAAACAAACAAAACAAAAAAACUUAAUGAAUACAGUCCCUCCUAAGAUUUUCAAAUAAAUGAAAUACCACAUUAAUCAUAUUGUUUUAUUUUUAUCAUUACAUUAAAAAUCAAAUAGUAUCACUAGGUUUAUAAUGAAAAACAGCAGACCCUGUCCCAGCCCUCCACACUCUCAGUUUCUACUCCCUAGAUAUAAUCUCUAUUCACCCAGCUACCUCUUCUGGUAUUUAUCUCCGUAUUUCUAAAUAGCAUGCUUAUACUACUAAUUCUUAAUUUUUCAGUUUGGGCCAUUAUUUUACUUUUUCUAUAGGAAAUAAGAUAUGUGUUUAUACUCUGAAGACUGGUAAUACACACAUGUAUUUCUCCAUCUUCCAUCCUUCAGUUUAUCUAUAUCACCCUAUAUAGGUAGAGUACUAUUCAUUAUACUAUUAUAAAGGUAUGUAAUUGAUCCAGUUAGCAUAAUAUGAUUAUAUUUCCUUUAUUUUGAUUGAAGUUAACUAUUGCCUCUUUCUCCAUGCAACUUUCUUAAGUACCUAGCAUUCAAGUGUCUAUAAUCAAUUUAUUCCAAACUGUCCUUUCAAAACAUUGAAACACAUCAAGUAGUCUAUCAAUCAGUUUAUUUUUUAAAUUGGAGACAACUCUCUAGGAGCCCAUCAUCCUCCUUCACUGUGGACUAGUUUUUCUCUAAGCCUACUGCACAGCUUUUGUCCUGAAAUAAUUUUAUCCUUUCUACCCUGUUUUCCACUUCUUUUUGUUUUUCUGAAAGAUUUCCACCUUCCAGCUUUUCUUUUGAAUUUUAAAAUUUCUGUUAUGUUUUAAAUUUGCCAGAAUACUUUCUUGUCAACCUCUCUUUUAAUUAAAAAUAUUUUUUAUUUUUGUAAUUUAAAGGUUUAUUGUAAAUUGACAAGUACAAAUUGGAUAUAUUUAUGGGGUACAAAGUGAUGUUAUAUGUAUACAAUGUGGAAAGAUUAAAUCAAGCUAAUUAACAUAUCCAUCACUACAAAUACUUCUUUGUGGUGAGAAUACUUGACAUUUACCUUCAGCAAUUUUGAAAUAUACAGUACAUUAUUAUUAACCAUGCUAUACUCUUUAUCUCAAAAAAUGUAUUCCCUUUAUCUAACUGAAACUUCGUACUCUAACCAACAUCUCCUUGUUUCCCCUACCACCCCUUCCCCCUACUCUCUGAUAACCAUCAUUCUACUCUGAUUCUGUGAGUUUGUUUUAGAUUCUACAUUAGGAAUCAUGUGACUUUGUCUGUCUGUGCCUGGCUUAUUCCAUUCAGCAUAACGUCCUCCAGGGAAGCACUUUCUUGUCCACCCCCUUCCCCUUUUUAAAUAGCAGUCUGUUCCAUUUGGUGGAUGCAGUAUCUUAUUACUCUAAGAAUAUUGCUAAUGUUUUCUUUUGUUUCUUGAAUUGUCUGUGUUGAAUUUUUAAGGCUUGUUUCUGUUUUGUGUUGGAAGCUUUUCUUAAACGUCUAGAGAUCCUUGGCCAUCCAUUCAUAUGUAAGAGUGGGGCACUAGAAAGCCAAUAGAAAGUUCUGUGUACACUGGCCAGUGAGGUGGCUCACACCUGUAACCCCAGCACUUUGGAAGGCCAAGGCAGGCAGAUCACUUGAGGUCAGGAGUUCAAGACCAGCCUUGCCAACAUGGUGAAACCCCAUCUCUACUAAAAAUACAAAAAUUAGCCGGGCUGGUGGCGCACGCCUGUAAUCCUUGCUACUUGGGAGGCUGAGGCUUGAGAAUCUCUUGAACCCGGGAGGCAGAGGUUGCAGUGAGCUCUCCAGCCUAGGCAACAGACCAAAACUCUGUCUCAAAAAAAAAAAAAGUUCUGUGUACAUACUUAGGACUUGUAAUUGGUAGGACAUACUGCAGUAUUUUUCAAACUUCUGGUCGCAAACCCAUUAGUAGUUUGUGAAAUCAAUAUAAUCAGUUUUAUUUCCCCCAAAUGACAGAACAGAAUAGAAAACACCACCUCAGAAUACAUCUACAUAGAAAGAGAAUUAUUUUAUGAAACUUUGGUUUCUUACACAUAUCAUAUAUACAUAUUAUGUACUGGUUUGAUCCCAUAAAAUGGGAGUUUUUUUUUUUUAUUGUGGGUGUUUCUUCAAAGAAAUUUGAAAAAGUACAACUUAGGAUAAUCAAAGAGAUCUCCAACUGUCAGGACAGGUAGGUCUUUUCUCUUAGAGAGGUUAAGUUCCGGCCCAGUGCGGUGGCUCAUGCCUGUAAUCCCAGCACUUUGGGAGGCUGAGGCGGGCAGAUCAUGAGGUCGGGAGAUUGAGACCAUCCUGGCUAACAUGGUGAAACCUCAUCUCUUCUAAGAAUACAAAAAAUAAGUCAGGCAUGGUGGCACGCGCCUGUAAUCCCAGCUACUCGGGAGGCUGAGGCAGGAGAAUCAUUUGAACUCGGGAGGCGGAGAUUGCCACUGCACUCCAGCCUGGGCGACAGAGCAAGACUCCGUCUCAAAAAAAAAAAAAAAAAAACGGAGAUAAGUUCUCCUGGAGUAAAAUUCUCUAAACUUUUGCCUGCAUGCUAGUCUGAUAGACAGUACUCAUUCAUUCAGGUAUUGGUUGAGGACUUACUAUGUGCCAAACACUGUUCCAGGUUCUGGGUAUACAUCAGACAAAACUGUCUCCUGGGACUAGAUUCUAGUGAGGGAGAUAAACAGUGGGUUAUAUAGUAUUUAGAUCUUGCGCUAGGUAACACAGCAACAGAAGGGAAAGCUGAACAUAUGCAUAUAGAUGCUGGUAAGAGGGUGGAUGUGGUGGAUGAAUGAAGUAGAAAACAAGGUCAUCAUCUGAGAGUGAAAAUGGGGAGGAAGUGUUGGAAGAAAAGAGAAGGUGUGAAAUAAUUUAGGACACAGCACAGCAAACUAUAGCCUUUGGUCAAAUCCUAUUUUGGUGCAAUCCACAAGCUAAGGAUACUUUUUUACUUUUAAACGGUUGGGAAAAAAAUUUAAGAUGAUAUUACAUCAUAGCAUGUAACAAAUAAAUGCAAUUCAAAUUUCAUUUAUUUACAUAUUGCCUCUGGCUACUUUCAUGCUACAGUGACAAAGCUGAAUAAUUGCAAAAGAGACUAUGACCUGCUAUGCCAAAAAUAUUUAUCUGGCCCUUUACAGAAAAAGUUGGCUGACUCCUGAUCUAGGAGGAUGGGAAGGUAUAUAGAGUAGGGAAAUAUGAUUAUCAGGCAGCAUUAAGGCCUGAAGGUUAUGGACAUGAAUUUAAAGUAAGACUAAACAGCAUAGUUGCUGCACAGAAGUAGGUACAAAGGCAAAGAGCUGGCUUUAAAGUUGUGAUUUUGCAAACUGAAAAUGACAAAAAGGGGUAGACUAAGUUAAAAGUACAUGCAAGUUGCAUGAUUAUAAUGAGUGAUCCUGGGAUUUAAGUUGAUUAUGACAGGAACAGAAGGAACUUGGAGAUUAGGGACAAUGAAAAGGUGGUAGUGAAAGGAGUGUUGGAGUUAAGUUACUAGAUGUCUGGAAGACAGACUGUGGUGGUCAGAUAAUGAGAUAGAUUAUGGAGGGGUUACAGUUUUUGGUAAUAACGAGAGAGAUCUAAGGUAUGACUGAGAGUGAAUGGAUGAGAAUAGCAGAGAACAAGGUCAGUGGAAAACUACUCUUCAAAGAACCUAUAGUCAGGGUGUUGAAAGAUUAAAAAUUGCUAAGAAUUAAAUCAGGAGUAGUGCUGCGGGAAAUGAAAUGAGCAGUGAACUAAACUUACUGAGAAAUGAGAGGGGAUGACCCAGGGGUUUGUAGAUUUUGUAGAUGAUAGCAAUGAAGAGAAGAGAUAUUAUUUGAUGGUAUGGAACUCAAAGCUGAGAGUUUUAAGGGAAGAUAGGAGACGUGUCUAGAAGUAGUAAUGAGGAGCAAGAACAUCAUCUACCCCAUCUCCAGGACCAGUAAUAGGAGGACUGUGGGAGAAAAAAAUCACCUUGAGAGGGCUGUAGUGAAAGCAGUAUCCUAAGGUAGCAGCCAAGUUUCAGACUGCUGGGAUCCAAGCCAGGGAAAGGUUUCUGACUCUUUAGAAUGCUGAGCUUUAGGCUGGGCACAGUGGCUCACGCCUGUAAUCCCAGCACUCUGGGAGGCCAAGGUGGGCAGAUCACUUGAGUCCAGGAGUUCAAGACCAGCCCAGGCAACAUGGUGAAAUCCCAUCUCUACACAAAAUACAAAAAUUACCCAGGUUUGGUGGUUCAUGCCUGUAGUCCCAGCUACUCAAGAGACUGAGGUGGAGAAUCACUUGAGCCCAGGAGGUUGAGGCAGCAGCAAGCCAUGAUCACACCACUGUACUCCAGCCUGGGCAACAGAGUGAGACCCUGUCUCAAAAAAACAAACAGAAUGCUGAGUUUUAAAUCCCUAUAUUCAGUAGGAUGUCUCCCCUCAGCUCCCAGUUGUUGUUGGUGGCUUCAACUAGUUCAUCUUCCCCAGGAGAUAAUGAAUGAACAAAUGAAUGAAUGAAUGAAUGAGUUUAUAAGGGGCGAGGAUCUCAGGACUUCAUAGUCUUUCAAGUAAUCAUCUUGUUUUUAGCCCUCUACCUACUACCUCUUGCUUUUCAGAUAACUGAUGCCUCCAAUUCCUAAGCCUUUUCUGGGGUUCUGUGGUACAAACAUGCUUGCUUAUUGCUAGUAACACUCCACCAGCCCCUGCCCCAGACUUCUGCUUUCUCUGGUCUACUCAGUUUGUUCCUUGUUUUUUGCUUUCCGGAUUCAAAGAUUUUGUUGACAUUGCCUGGAUGCUGCCAUCUUUUGUCUCAUAUUCUUUGUCCUUAAUCAUUUAACAUUCCUUUACUGUCAUUUUAAUGGCAUUUCAGGAGGAAGCCAUGUUUCUAGUCCACCGUUCUUUUUUGUUGUUUUUGAGACAGAGUCUUACUCUGUCACCCAGGCUGGAGUGCAGUAGCAUGACCUCAGCUCACUGCAACCUCUGCCUCCCGGGUUCAAGCGAUCCUCCCACCUCAGCCUCCCGAGUAGCUGGGACCACAGGCAUGCGCCACUACAACUGGCUAAUUUUUGUAUUUGUAAGUAGAGAUGAGGUUUCUCCAUGUUGGCCAGGCUUGUCUUGAAUUCCUGGCCUCAAGUGAUCCACCCACCUCAGCCUUCUAAAGUGCUGGGAUUACAGGCAUGAGCCACCACACCGGGCCAAUCCACUGUUUUUUAAAAAGUUGUCAAGAGUUUUGUUAAGGGGUCAGACAUGUCUGACUGGUUGACUUUUCCCAGAAUGCUGCUUAGUCCCUCAAACACACAAAUUCCUGAUGGGUCCACCCACUAGGCUUCUGGUAUACACAGACAGAUCUGAAUCCCAGUGGUGGAAACAACCUAGGCUGAUUCUGAGUUUCCCACUGCAUUUCUUCUUCUAAUUGUCCCUCUUUUCCAUUCCUGUCCUUUCCCUCAUCCCUUACCUGCUGAAAAUGAAUCUUACCAUUUCUAAAAUUCCACUCUUCCGGGGGCAUCCACAGCUGGAUCCUCUUCUUCACUGCCAUUCCUCAGGCCUUAGAACAGGUCCCCUUCUUACACCCUUGUGCUCCAACUGGUCUUUAUGAAACCUGUUCACUUCAAUAUACUUUUAGGCCAGGCUCACGCCUGUAAUCCCAGCACCUUGAGAAGCUGAGGCCGGUGCAUCACUUGAGGUCAGGAGUUCGAGACCAGCCUGGCCAACAUGGUGAAACCCUAUCUCUACUAAAAAUACAAAUAUAUAUACAUAUGCCAGGCAUGGUGGCAUGUGCCUGUAGUCCCAGCUACUCAGGAGGCAGAGGCACGAGAAUCACUUGAAUCCAGGAGGCGGAGGUCGCAGUGAGCCGAGAUUGUGCCACUGCACUCCAGCUUGGGCAACAGAGCAAGACUCCGUCUCCAAAAUAUAUCUUAUCUAUAUAUAGAUAUAGAUAGGUAUAUAUAGAUCUAUAUAUAGAUAUAUACUUUCAAUUCUCCAAUUGUUCCCGUAUACCAUAGAGAAACUCUUAUGAGCUCAGUUUCUGCAGGACUUACAAAACAGGGUAAUUGCCUCCUCAUUAUGGUCAGCUCCAGCACCAUUCAAAUUCUCUGUCCUUACCCAUUUCCAGAACAAGCAGGAUGAAAAUCACUUAUCACUAUAGCACCCACCCUUAAGCACAAGGUUAUCCAAUGUUUUCAAGGAGUCCAGCAUUUCAUAACAGAACCCCCUGAUUAGUUUGCUAACUGAUGAAAGCAGAGUUAAAUUCCUGUUAUGCAGGUUUAGAGUACAGGAGAUUCUAUGUCCCCAUAUCCUCUGCCCCCCAAUCUAUCCCUUGGCAAACACAAGUACCUCUACUAGAAUAACCAUACUCCCUCUUCCCAACCCACUUCUCUUGUUUAAGGGCACUGGCAGUGUUUGUGUAUGUCAACAACAUCGGAGUAUCUGGGGUCCCUGGAGAGUUAGAUUUUCUGUAUUAAUUACAGACUGGGAGAUUACUCUGGCUCCAGUAAAAGCAAUACCAGGAUUGAAGUCCCCUCUCUGAUUAUGGUGGCUGGGAUUUGCUGGAAGAGGCAUAGGUCCAGAAAAGAAUGUAAAAAAGGUACUAGAAAGAAAGAAUAAGGCCUAUAGCCAUCAGGCUGCUAGAACCUUUGGACAAGUCACUAUCUAAAAGCAGGUAAAGACCCAGCUUUUUGUCCAUCUGGUCAGGCACCUGGUGGCGUGAGUCUUUCAGAACAUACUGGUCAGGCGGUGGCUCACGCCUGUAAUCUCAGCACUUUGGGAGGCUGAGGCAGGAGGAUCACUUGAGGUAAGGAGUUGGAGACCAGCCUGGCCAACAUGGUGAAACCCUGUCUCUACUAAAAAUACAAAAAUUAGCCAGGUGUGGUGGCGGGCAUAUGUAGUCCCAGCUACUUGGGAGGCUGAGGCAAGAGAAUCGCUUGAACCCAGGAGUCGGCAGUUGCAGUGAGCCGAGAUCACACCACUGCACUCCAGUCUGGAUGGUAAAGUGAGAACCCAUCUCAAAAAAAAAAAGGAACAUACCACAACCCUUCAAUAAAAAGGUCUCUGAGAAAACAGUUGUCACAAUGUCCAUGUACUUGUACUUGACACCAUGUGAGAAACAGCCUCCAGUAGGUCACUGGCCAGACAGGUGAGUAUGAAAUAGGACAACACUGUAUUAUAGCUCAGGAUGCAUUGAUAAUAGAAGUUUGAAGCAGCAGCUGACAGACGAGUCUAAGCAAUAACACACAGACUAGUUUGUCUCUGCUCUUGAGAACAGCAGCCUGCAACCCUUCAAACAAGCCAUAAUGUGUGAGUCAACAAGAAGCUACAUUUGAUUGACAAUGCCAUUUUAAUAAAGAUGUUCUAGAGUCAAAGAAUUUGGCGUGAGAAAUUGUGCCCAGGCUGGGGUGCAGUGGUGUGAUCAUAGCUCACUGCAGCCUCUGAGCUCCUGGGCUCAAGGGAUCCCCCUGCCUUAGCCUCUGAAGUAGCUGGGACUACAGGCAUGCACCACUGUGCCCAGCUAAUUUUUAAUUUUUUUGUAAAGAUAGGGUCUCAUUAUGUUUCCCAGGCUGGUCUCGAACUCCUGGCUUCAAGUGAUCCUCCCACCUUGGACUCCGAAAGUGCUGGGAUGUGCUCAAUAUUAAAUGUCAUGAAGAUACUGUUAAAAUAAUAAUUGUGCUCAAUAGUUGUAUCUUUAUACUAUUCUGAGCCUUAGGUUUCUUUUCUGUAAAACUGAACAAUACUACCUUCUUUGCAGGGGAUAGCAUAGUCCCUGGUUUACAGUAAAUGCUUUCCUCCAAUUGAAUCAAGAUAUACCUCUCUGCUACCUCCCCAUCUAUUAGAAAUGCUUGCCUUCUGGUACCAGAAAAAAAAAAAAAACACCUUCCACAUGACAACUCUGAAGACAAUAAUCACACUACCAUUGUGUUUUUCUGGAUGUGCCACACAUUGUAUACAUGUCCCUGCCUUACAAAUGACAUCUCCUAUACACAGAGUCCUUAAUAUUUCUACAUGCAAUGUAUAAUCAAUUAAAACAUCAGUAUCAUCUUAAUGUGAAUUUCUGUUAAUCCAAGUUCUCCCCCACUAUGCAAGUGCAAUAAAUAUUUAAAAAUGAAGGUAACAAUAUAUAUAUAUAUUUUUUUGAGACAGAGUCUCGCUCUGUUGUCCAGGCUGGAGUGCAGUGGCGUGAUCGCGGCUCACUGCAAGCUCCACCUCCCGAGUUCAUGCCAUUCUCCUGCAUCAGCCUCCUGAGUAGCUGGGACUACAGGUGCCCACCACCACUCCCAGCUAAUUUUUUGUAUUUUUAGUAGAGACAGGGUUUCACUGUGUUAGCCAGGAUGGUCUCCAUCUCCUGACCUUGUGAUACACCCCUCUCGGCCUCCCAAAGUGCUGGGAUUACAGGUGUGAGCCACCGUGCUUGGCCAACAAUAUAUAUUCUUAACUGUGUAAAUUUUAAUUUGUUGGUUUUAUUCUUUUGAGAUUAUUAUGAAUAUUGAUUCUGUCAUUCAUCGCUUAAGGACCAGGCAGGUGAACCACUUGACAUUUUUUAUCAUCAGAAUAAAUUGACAAAAACAAAACAAAAUACUUUGAGGUGGAAUGGAAGUAUCUUGAGUAGUAGUAAAACCAUAGUUCUAGAUGGUGAUAAUCAUUGUCAUAAUGAAAGCGUGUUGCUUGUUGACUAUUUAACCAUGCUGUUUAAGUCAUAUUAAAAACAUCAAUACGUCCCUCUCCCUCUCCCCUCUCCCCUCUCCCCUCUCCCCUCUCCCCUCUCCCCUCUCCCCCUUCCCACGGUCUCCUUCCACGGUCUCCCUCUGAUGCCGAGCCAAAGCUGGACGGUACUGCUGCCAUCUCGGCUCACUGCAACCUCCCUGCCUGAUUCUCCUGCCUCAGCCUGCCGAGUGCCUGCGAUUGCAGGCGCGCGCCGCCACGCCUGACUGGUUUUCGUUUUUUUUUUUUUUGGUGGAGACGGGGUUUUGCUGUGUUGGCCGGGCUGGUCUCCAGCUCCUAACCGCGAGUGAUCCGCCAGCCUCGGCCUCCCGAGGUGCCGGGAUUGCAGACGGAGUCUCGUUCACUCAGUGCUCAAUGGUGCCCAGGCUGGAGUGCAGUGGCGUGAUCUUGGCUCGCUACAACCUCCACCUCCCAGCCGCCUGCCUUGGCCCCCCAAAGUGCCGAGAUUGCAGCCUCUGCCCAGCCGCCACCCCGUCUGGGAAGUGAGGAGCGUCUCUGCCUGGCCCCCCAUCGUCUGGGAUAUGAGGAGCCUCUCUGCCUGGCUGCCCAGUCUGGAAAGUGAGGAGCGUCUCUGCCCGGCCGCCAUCCCAUCUAGGAAGCGAGGAGCGCCUCUUCCCCGCCGCCAUCCCAUCUAGGAAGUGAGGAGCGUCUCUGCCCGGCCGCCCAUCGUCUGAGAUGUGGGGAGCACCUCUGCCCCGCCGCCCUGUCUGGGAUGUGAGGAGCGCCUCUGCUGGGCCGCAACCCUGUCUGGGAGGUGAGGAGCGUCUCUGCCCGGCCUCCCCGUCUGAGAAGUGAGGAAACCCUCUGCCUGGCAACCGCCCCGUCUGAGAAGUGAGGAGCCCCUCCGUCCGGCAGCCACCCCGUCUGGGAAGUGAGGAGCGUCUCCGCCCGGCAGCCACCCCGACCGGGAGGGAGGUGGGGGGGGGGUCAGCCCCCCGCCCGGCCAGCCGCCCCGUCCGGGAGGUGAGGGGCUCCUCUGCCCGGCCGCCCCUACUGGGAAGUGAGGAGCCCCUCUGCCCGGCCAGCCGCCCCGUCCGGGAGGGAGGUGGGGGGGUCAGCCCCCCGCCCGGCCAGCCGCCCCGUCCGGGAGGUGAGGGGCUCCUCUGCCCGGCCGCCCCUACUGGGAAGUGAGGAGCCCCUCUGCCCGGCCAGCCGCCCCGUCCGGGAGGGAGGUGGGGGGAUCAGCCCCCCGCCUGGCCAGCCGCCCCGUCCGGGAGGUGAGGGGCGCCUCUGCCCGGCCGCCCCUACUGGGAAGUGAGGAGCCCCUCUGCCCGGCCAGCCGCCCCAUCCGGGAGGGAGGUGGGGGGGUCAGCCCCCCGCCCGGCCAGCCGCCCCAUCCGGGAGGGAGGUGGGGGGGUCAGCCCUCCGCCCGGCCAGCCGCCCCAUCCGGGAGGGAGGUGGGGGGGGUCAGCCCCCCGCCCGGCCAGCCGCCCCGUCCGGGAGGGAGGUGGGGGGAUCAGCCCCCCGCCUGGCCAGCCGCCCCGUCCGGGAGGUGAGGGGCGCCUCUGCCCGGCCGCCCCUACUGGGAAGUGAGGACCCCUCUGCCUGGCCAGCCGCCCCGUCCGGGAGGGUUGGGGGGGGGUCAGCCCCCCGCCCGGCCAGCCGCCCCAUCCGGGAGGUGAGGGGCGCUUCUGCCCGGCCGCCCCUACUGGGAAAUGAGGAGCCCCUCUGCCCGGCCACGACCCCGUCUGGGAGGUGUGCCCAGCGGCUCAUUGGGGAUGGGCCAUGAUGACAAUGGCGGUUUUGUGGAAUAGAAAGGCGGGAAGAGUGGGGAAAAAAUUGAGAAAUCGGAUGGUUGCCGGGUCUCUGUGGAUAGAAGUAGACAUGGGAGACUUUUCAUUUUGUUCUGUACUAAGAAAAAUUCUUCUGCCUUGG
rnacentral:lncRNA from 10 species